rnacentral:lncRNA from 1 species
GUCCAUUUGAUGACUUAGCUCGUCUCGUGCUAUUCCUACUAUCCUACCCUCUGCCAUUCUACUAAUGUGUUCGUUCCACUCCUGUUUCCGUUUUGUCACCCAUACAUUUAUCUACAUCGCUCUCCAUUCAUCUACUCUCUUCUUAUGUUUUCCUUCUCUCCCUAGCCAACAGACUUUUCCCUGAUAUUCGUCGAAGUAUUUUCAUCUCUGCUGUUUCUAAUAGUACCUAGCCUUUCAGAGUUAACGUGCGGACUAUGAUUCCGCUUGUCUAAAUAUUUGUCGAUUUCUGACGAUUAAUUACGAUCUCGGUUGUGGCGUGCUCGCUAGCUUCAAGUGAGGGGAUACUCUAUUCAGUACUGUUGUGAGAAUUGUCUUAGUGCGUUUAGUUCUGCUGCUAUAUUGACUUGCGGAACGUGAGUCCGCACGUUAUACAAGUUGUCACAAAUCUUCAGAUUUUUUAAGAUGAGUUUCGAAAAGCAACUCUAGCAUAUCUUGAAAAGCUGCAUGCGGAAUUUCUCUCUGAUUCUGAGCCAGAAGCUGAACCUGACGAUGAUGAUGCUAGUUUGGAAGGAGAUUAUGAAGAAGGACAGGACCACGAUAUACCGAGAUGGAAGAAGACAUUGAGGAGAGAAUCUUAGAAUCUCGGAAGACAGCAGCGAAGAUUGACUUAUUUCCGUUCAUUCAUGUAUCUACUUUGCGCAGCUCAAACAUUUGUUUUUUAUUUAGUCAUUGUUUAGUUUCUUAGAAAUAAUUGUUUUGUAUUUUUUUAAUUUAGGUUUUUGCGAUUUAUAGGACUCAAAAUGUGAAAAGGAUAUAUCUGUUCACUUUUAUUUUUGAAGCAUGAGUCUAAGUGCAAGUUAUAAUAAAUUUGUUUGCAAAUGUU